ACGCUCGACACCUACGGAGGCAGCAGUGGGGGAUAUUGCACAAUGGAGGAAACUCUGAUGCAGCGACGCCGCGUGAGGGAAGACGGUUUUCGGAUUGUAAACCUCUGUCUUCAGGGACGAAAUGAAUGACGGUACCUGAGGAGGAAGCUCCGGCUAACUACGUGCCAGCAGCCGCGGUAAUCUGAGCGGGCUGGCAAGGC
rnacentral:rRNA from 1 species